rnacentral:rRNA from 1 species
UACGAAGGGGGCUAGCGUUGCUCGGAAUUACUGGGCGUAAAGGGAGCGUAGGCGGACAUUUAAGUCAGGGGUGAAAUCCUGGAGCUCAACUCCAGAACUGCCUUUGAUACUGGCGAUCUUGAGUCCGGGAGAGGUGAGUGGAACUGCGAGUGUAGAGGUGAAAUUCGUAGAUAUUCGCAAGAACACCAGUGGCGAAGGCGGCUCACUGGCCCGGUACUGACGCUGAGGUGCGAAAGCGUGGGGAGCAAACAGG